rnacentral:rRNA from 1 species
AAAAUCCCUCCAAACAGGCAA